UUUUUUUUUGCCUUUUUU
rnacentral:sRNA from 1 species